rnacentral:rRNA from 1 species
GACGAAGGGGGCUAGCGUUGUUCGGAUUUACUGGGCGUAAAGCGCACGUAGGCGGAUUGUUAAGUCAGGGGUGAAAUCCUGGAGCUCAACUCCAGAACUGCCUUUGAUACUGGCAAUCUAGAGUCCGGAAGAGGUGAGUGGAACUCCUAGUGUAGAGGUGGAAUUCGUAGAUAUUAGGAAGAACACCAGUGGCGAAGGCGGCUCACUGGUCCGGUACUGACGCUGAGGCGCGAAAGCGUGGGGAGCGAACAGG